GGAGUUAACUCAGUAGAUCUGGCUAAGCAUGUAGAACCGAUAGCGGAGAGCUGGCGGACGGGGGUUCAAAUCCCCCCGGCUCCACCA
rnacentral:tRNA from 1 species